rnacentral:rRNA from 1 species
UACGUAGGGUGCGAGCGUUGUCCGGAAUUAUUGGGCGUAAAGAGCUCGUAGGCGGUGUGUCACGUCGGCCGUGAAAACCUGGGGCUUAACUCUGGGCGUGCGGUCGAUACGGGCAUCACUAGAGUUCGGCAGGGGAGACUGGAAUUCCUGGUGUAGCGGUGAAAUGCGCAGAUAAUCAGGAGGAACACCGGUGGCGAAGGCGGGUCUCUGGGCCGAUGACUGACGCUGGAGGAGCGAAAGCAUGGGGAGCGAACAGGA